UUCGCCCUUUUCCGGUUGAUCCUGCCGGAGGUUACUGCUAUCGGUGUUCGACUAAGCCAUGCGAGUCAAAUGUUCUUCGUGAACAUGGCGGACUGCUCAGUAACACGUGGAUAACCUGCCCUUAGGUUCGGCAUAACUCCGGGAAACUGGAGAUAAUUCCGAAUAGGUCAAAUAUGCUGGAAUGCUUUUUGGCCAAAAGACCUCGGUUGCCUAAGGGUGGAUCUGCGGUCUAUCAGGUUGUAGUGGGUGUAACGUACCUACUAGCCUACGACGGAUAUGGGUUGUGAGAGCAAGAGCCCAGAGAUGGAUUCUGAGACAUGAAUCCAGGCCCUACGGGGCGCAGUAGGCGCGAAAACUUUACAAUGCGGGAAACCGCGAUAAGGGGACACCGAGUGCCAGCAUUUAUGUUGGCUGUCCACAUGUGUAAACGGCAUGUGUUAGCAAGGGCCGGGCAAGACCGGUGCCAGCCGCCGCGGUAACACCGGCGGCCCGAGUGGUAAUCACUUUUAUUGGGUCUAAAGGGUCCGUAGCCGGUUUGAUCAGUUCUUCGGGAUAUCUGACAGCUCAACUGUUAGGCUUCCGGGGAAUACUGUCAGACUUGGGACCCGGGAGAGUAAGAGGUACUACAGGGGUAGGAGUGAAAUCUUGUAAUCCCUGU
rnacentral:rRNA from 1 species